AAUUCUAACACGGAUGGGGAACAACAGUCUUAGAUAACAUGGAUAAAUAAGAGGGCACUGUUGGGGACCUGUCGUUAUUUUGUACAUCUUCAGCUCUUUGGAAAUGGGGACGCUCCAUGGACUGCCCUAUAGAAUCAUUUUAUUAGGUGGUAUCUACGUGGGGUGAUUAAAGGUGCUGGUGAAAGACAGUUCAAGGAAUCCACCUGAUUCAGACUGGGAUGUCUUCUCAGAGAUGGAAUGCUUAAUCUUCCCCUCAGAACCCUGAGAGGGAGGCCUGAGGAGAUUGGACUCCAUAGCCCUAUGGGGCCUUCAGUCAAGACUGGUACCAAACAACUUUUGAACCAAAGUUGGGAACCUUAGGCUAAUUCACUGCACAAGUGGUUCCCAUCUCUAUAAUCUUUGGACCCUGCCCCAAGUGCAGAUCUCUCCUACUUAUACUUUCAUCCCUGGUCCCCUCAUUUCUCUGAUGCCUCACACAGAAACUCCUCUUUAGAGAAUUUCCCUCAACCCACUCAUUCAAAUUACA